GACGAACGCUGGCGGCGUGCUUAACACAUGCAAGUCGAGCGGUAAGGCCCUUUCGGGGGUACACGAGCGGCGAACGGGUGAGUAACACGUGGGUGACCUGCCCUCAGCUCUGGGAUAAGCCUGGGGAACCGGGUCUAAUACUGGAUAUGACUCCAUGACGCAUGUUGUGGGGUGGAAAGCCUUGUGCGGCUGAGGAUGGGCCCGCGGCCUAUCAGCUUGUUGGUGGGGUGANGGCCUACCAAGGCGACGACGGGUAGCCGGCCUGAGAGGGCGACCGGCCACACUGGGACUGAGACACGGCCCAGACUCCUACGGGAGGCAGCAGUGGGGAAUCUUGCGCAAUGGGCGAAAGCCUGACGCAGCGACGCCGCGUGAGGGAUGACGGCCU
rnacentral:rRNA from 1 species